UGGGAGUUAACUCCCAUGAAGCUGAGCUGUAUUUUUCCCCAACAGAUGCUGCUAGAAAGACUGCGGGUCAGGCAAGUUACUGCUGGCUUCUCGCCACUGCUGAGAAAGCUGACAUCAAAACAGACGGACAACCUCCUCGUCCCUGGGCUGGAACUCUCCUCAAAGGCUGUGGCAAAGAAAAGGCUUGAAGCCUUCAGCAUUUCCUAGAGGGACUGAUGCUAAAGCACGGUGGAACAUAUACCAGAAUCAUACAAGUUACCGUCGAAAAGGGAUGGAAAGCGGGGAUAAUCAUUUGUAGUUGGCUUGUUCAAAUCAGGACCCAAUCAAGGUCCACGUGCUGCAUCUGACUGCUAUGUCUCUGAAGUCUCCUUUAAUCUAUGACGGAUGUUCACUAAACUUAUCGUGGCAAUCACUGCACGAUGUAGGUAAGUCAAAACAUUAUGCCGUACACCUUGAACUUAUAAUACAGUGCUGUAUGUCAAUUAUAUCUCAAUAAAACUGGAAGGAAAAAAUCCAGCUUUGGAUUUUUUAUGCUUAUAUCAGAAAGAAGGAAAAAAAUCUAGUUUUGGAUUUUUUUCCUUAUAUUGGAAAGAAGUAAAAAUG